rnacentral:rRNA from 1 species
AUUGAACGCUGGCGGCAGGCCUAACACUUGCAAGUCGAACGAGUGGCGGACGGGUGAGUAAUGUCUGGGAAACUGCCUGAUAGAGGGGGAUAACUACUGGAAACGGUAGCUAAUACCGCAUACCAUCAGAUGGGCCGAGAUGGGAUUAGCUAGUUGGUGGGGUAACGGCUCACCAAGGCGACGAUCCCUAGCUGGUCUGAGAGGAUGACCAGCCACACUGGGACUGAGACACGGCCCAGACUCCUACGGGAGGCAGCAGUGGGGAAUAUUGGACAAUGGGGGAAAGCCUGAUCCAGCCAUGCCGCGUGUAUGAAGAAGGCCUUCGGGUUGUAAAGUACUUUCAGCGGGGAGGCGUUACCCGCAGAAUAAGCACCGGCUAACUCCGUGCCAGCAGCCGCGGUAAUAC